AUUGAACGCUGGCGGCAUGCCUUACACAUGCAAGUCGAACGCGAAAGCGGGGCAACCCGCAAGUAGAGUGGCGAACGGGUGAGUAAUACAUCGGAACAUAUCCAGUAGCGGGGGAUAGCCUGUCGAAAGAUAGGCUAAUACCGCAUACGACCUACGGGUGAAAGCGGAGGACCGCAAGGCUUCGCACUAUUGGAGUGGCCGAUGUCGGAUUAGCUAGUUGGCGGGGUAACAGCCCACCAAGGCGACGACCCGUAGCUGGUCUGAGAGGACGGCCAGCCACACUGGAACUGAGACACGGUCCAGACUCCUACGGGAGGCAGCAGUGGGGAAUUUUGGACAAUGGGCGCAAGCCUGAUCCAGCCAUGCCGCGUGAGUGAAGAAGGCCUUCGGGUUGUAAAGCUCUUUCGGCGGGGACGAAAUGGUCCGUGCUAACACCACGGACUGAUGACGGUACCCGAAGAAGAAGCACCGGCUAACUACGUGCCAGCCGCCGCGGUAAUAC
rnacentral:rRNA from 1 species